rnacentral:rRNA from 1 species
CCUACGGGAGGCAGCAGUGAGGAAUAUUGGUCAAUGGGCGUAAGCCUGAACCAGCCAAGUCGCGUGCGGGAUGAAGGUUCUAUGGAUCGUAAACUUCUUUUAUACGGGAAUAAAGUGUGGGACGUGUCCUCUUUUGUAUGUACCUUAUGAAUAAGGAUCGGCUAACUCCGUGCCAGCAGCCGCGGUAAUACGGAGGAUCCGAGCGUUAUCUGGAUUUAUUGGGUUUAAAGGGUGCGUAGGCGGCCUUUUAAGUCAGCGGUGAAAGUCUGUGGCUCAACCAUAUAAUUGCCGUUGAAACUGGGGGGCUUGAGUAUGGUUGAGGCAGGCGGAAUGCGUGGUGUAGCGGGGAAAUGCUUAGAGAUCACGCAGAACCCCGAUUGCGAAGGCAGCCGGCCAAGCCAUGACUGACGCUGAUGCACGAAAGCGUGGGGAUCAAACAGGAUUAGAUACCCCUGUAGUC